rnacentral:rRNA from 1 species
GACGAACCGUGCGAACGUUAUUCGGAAUCACUGGGCUUAAAGCGCGUGUAGGCGGCCAGACAGGUCAGCUGUGAAAACUCGAGGCUCAACCUCGAGACGUCGGUUGAAACCGUCUGGCUAGAGUCCGGAAGAGGAGAGUGGAAAUUCCCGGUGUAGCGGUGAAAUGCGCAGAUAUCAGGAGGAACACCGAUGGCGAAGGCAGGUCUCUGGGCCACUACUGACGCUGAGAAGCGAAAGCAUGGGGAGCGAAACAGG